UACAGAGGCCCCAAGCAUUAUCCGGAAUCACUGGGCGUAAAGGGUGCGUAGGUGGCGUUAUUAGUCCUAUCUCAAAUCCUUCGGGCUCAACCCGAAGGCUCGAUAGGAAACGGUAGCGCUAGAGGAUGUAAGAGGUAUGUGGAACUCACGGUGUAGGGGUGAAAUCCGUUGAUAUCGUGGGGAACACCGAAUGCGAAGGCAGCAUACUGGGACAUUCCUGACACUGAGGCACGAAAGCGUGGGUAGCGAAAAGG
rnacentral:rRNA from 1 species